GCCGGGUGUGGUGGCUCACACCUGUAAUCCCAGCACCUUGGGAGGCUGAGGUGGGUGGAUCACCUGAGGUCGGGAGUUCAAGACCAGCCUGACCAACAUGGAGAAACCCUGUCUCUA
rnacentral:SRP_RNA from 1 species